AUUAUCUCUUUGCCGUGUUCUUUAGCUCAAGUGUGAGAGGUUAAUGCGGAUUACUGUUGUUUUAGAUUGCUGGCUGGAGUUAGUUUGUUCCAGUCUACAGCUGGGAGAGGCUUUCCUACUCAAUCUCUUCUUUGAUGCCAUUUCUUGGAUUUGCAGGAGCAAUGUUGGUGAACACGUAAGGAACUAUAGAGGUGGAGCGUUUCACUACAUCUGUGCCCUGCCCCUUCCACGUGGAACAUGUCUGGGGGCACAAGGAGGAAGGAAACUCAGAGUUCUGCCAGGAAAGAAUAAUCUCUAUAAAUGUCUGCCUGCAUGGAGGCACAGACAGACGCAACAGCUGCUUCCACAGUGAUAUCAUCCUCUUCUUGGAUAUUUAGGAACCACAAAGACUACAGAAUAAGGAAGGAAGCCUAGGCACACUGUUAUUUCUAAACUGCCAGGUUCAGACUAUUUCUAAACUUCAGGUUCUGUUAAAAAUGAUUUGGUGUUGUUGCCCCUAAGCUGGGCAUGUGUGAUCUGGUCUUUUCUUAGACUGAAUUUUAUGUGCUUUCUUCCAUCAGAAAAAAAAUGCUAUAUAUAUGCCAUUGUUUGUUUGUUUGUUUGUUUUUAUGGGAUGGGCAACCCAGUGUGGUAUAUUAUCCAUUUUUACUGCUGCUCAAAUACAUCUGAAAAAGACAAGGUGACUUGAAGCAGGAGCAUGGUUCUAACCAUCUGUGCUGAUUUUGAAAAUGGGAGUAAUAAAUACCAGGAGGAG
rnacentral:lncRNA from 1 species